rnacentral:rRNA from 1 species
UACGGGGGGAGCAAGCGUUGUUCGGAUUUACUGGGCGUAAAGGGCUCGUAGGCGGCCAACUAAGUCGGAUGUGAAAUCCCCAGGCUUAACCUGGGAACUGCAUCCGAUACUGGAUGGCUUGAAUUCGGGAGAGGGAUGCAGAAUUCCAGGUGUAGCGGUGAAAUGCGUAGAUAUCUGGAGGAAUACCGGUGGCGAAGGCAGGUCUCUGGGCCAUAACUGACGCUGAGAAGCGAAAGCAUGGGGAGCGAACAGG